rnacentral:rRNA from 1 species
GUGGGGAAUCUUCCGCAAUGGACAAAAGUCUGACGGAGCAACGCCGCGUGAGUGAUGAAGGUCUUCGGAUUGUAAAGCUCUGUUAAUCGGGACGAAAGAGCCUAGUGUGAAUAAUGCUAGGAAGUGACGGUACCGGAAUAGAAAGCCACGGCUAACUACGUGCCAGCAGCCGCGGUAAUACGUAGGUGGCAAGCGUUGUCCGGAAUUAUUGGGCGUAAAGCGCGCGCAGGCGGAUCUGCCAGUCUGUCUUAAAAGUUCGGGGCUUAACCCCGUGAUGGGAUGGAAACUACAGAUCUAGAGUAUCGGAGAGGAAAGUGGAAUUCCUAGUGUAGCGGUGAAAUGCGUAGAUAUUAGGAAGAACACCAGUGGCGAAGGCGACUUUCUGGACGAAAACUGACGCUGAGGCGCGAAAGCCAGGGGAGCGAACGGGAUUAGAAACCCGAGUAGUCC